AUUGAACGCUGGCGGCAUGCCUAACACAUGCAAGUCGAGCGGUAACAGGUCCUUCGGGAUGUUGACGAGCGGCGGACGGAUGAGUAAUGCAUAGGAAUAUGCCCGGUAGUGGGGGAUAACCUGGGGAAACCCAGGCUAAUACCGCAUACGUCGUACGGGAGAAAGGGGGCUCCGGCUCCCGCUAUUGGAUGAGCCUAUGUCGGAUUAGCUAGUUGGUGAGGUAAUGGCUCACCAAGGCCGCGAUCCGUAGCUGGUCUGAGAGGAUGAUCAGCCACAUCGGGACUGAGACACGGCCCGUACUCCUACGGGAGGCAGCAGUGGGGAAUAUUGGACAAUGGGCGAAAGCCUGAUCCAGCCAUGCCGCGUGUGUGAAGAAGGCCCUCGGGUUGUAAAGCACUUUCAGCGAGGAAGAACGCCUAGGGGUUAAUACCCCCUAGGAAAGACAUCACUCGCAGAAGAAGCACCGGCUAACUCCGUGCCAGCAGCCGCGGUAAUACGGAGGGUGCGAGCGUUAAUCGGAAUUACUGGGCGUAAAGCGCGCGUAGGUGGCUUGAUAAGCCGGUUGUGAAAGCCCCGGGCUCAACCUGGGAACGGCAUCCGGAACUGUCAAGCUAGAGUGCAGGAGAGGAAGGUAGAAUUCCCGGUGUAGCGGUGAAAUGCGUAGAGAUCGGGAGGAAUACCAGUGGCGAAGGCGGCCUUCUGGACUGACACUGACGCUGAGGUGCGAAAGCGUGGGUAGCAAACA
rnacentral:rRNA from 1 species